rnacentral:rRNA from 1 species
GAUGAACGCUGGCGGCGUGCCUAAUACAUGCAAGUCGAGCGAACAGAUGAGGAGCUUGCUCCUCUGACGUUAGCGGCGGACGGGUGAGUCACACGUGGAUAACCUACCUAUCAGACUGGGAUAACUUCGGGAAACCGGAGCUAAUACCGGAUAAUAUAUUGAACCGCAUGGUUCAAUGGUGAAAGACGGUUUUGCUGUCACUUAUCGAUGGAUCCGCGCCGCAUUAGCUAGUUGGUAAGGUAACGGCUUACCAAGGCAACGAUGCGUAGCCGACCUGAGAGGGUGAUCGGCCACACUGGAACUGAGACACGGUCCAGACUCCUACGGGAGGCAGCAGUAGGGAAUCUUCCGCAAUGGGCGAAAGCCUGACGGAGCAACGCCGCGUGAGUGAUGAAGGUCUUCGGAUCGUAAAACUCUGUUAUUAGGGAAGAACAAAUGUGUAAGUAACUAUGCACGUCUUGACGGUACCUAAUCAGAAAGCCACGGCUAACUACGUG